rnacentral:tRNA from 1 species
AAAAAAUUAGUUAAAAUAAAUAACAUUAAUUUGUCAAAUUAAAAUUAUAAUACAAAUAUUUUUUA